GUCUAGCUAAUGAGUCCCAAAUGGGACGAAACGUGCGUUCUGGAU
rfam:Schistosoma rodhaini strain Burundi genome assembly, scaffold: SROB_scaffold0009705